ensembl:lncRNA
UCUAUCUUCUGUUUGUUGCUAAAAUUGAGGAAAGCUACCACCAUUUAUUCUGCAAAUGGCAUUUGUAGAGCUUGUUAUUUUACUACAUUUGAUGCUUAACACCUCAGUAAAUAAAGUUUUAAGUUUCAUAGAGGUGAUGUCUGCAUAGUGGCACAAAAAGGUGUUCCAUAUCUUAGAGGCAAUCUGAGGAUUAAAUUGGACAGGUAUUUUUGUGUCUCCUACUUUGUAGUGGAGCCCCUGUAGUUUGUGACUGAAACUCAGAGUAUCUUCCUUAGUGUCUUCUUGGGAUGGACGUUCUUGAGAAAAGUUUGUAUCAAAUCUACUUAGAUUUGUAUGGAAGAAAAAUUGAAUGCAGCCUCCUUUCCAAAGGAUAUGGAGUUGUGCAGUAGGUGAUUCACUUGAUGGCAGCUAAUGAAGUAUGCAGUGGCAUGUCAGGACGCUUGUUCCAUUGAGCAGCGUGGUCUCAUGGUGCUCAUGUCCAUAGUACUGUUAUGUCCUCAUGUGGUGUGGAGACUUGAAAUUGUGUUGUUUGGUUUGGGUUGUUUUUGCAGAUGUUCACUGAGGUUUCUGUGUUUGUACAGACCGACAGCAGCAAAGACUGACACUUUCAGAUUGUUGCCUGGAGUUAUCUGUAAAAGAGACAUGAACCCCUGAAUUGUUCCAGUGGGUACUUCUAGGUCAUAAAAUUGCAGUAGUUCAUAAAGGUGCUUAUCAGACCUAGAAUAUGGGAAUGCUUGGGAGUGAGUGUGCUAACAGGUCGUGAGUUUGGAAGAGAGCUGUGCUGUGAAGUCCUUUGUCUCUGAAAGUUUCUAAUGAAAUCUUGUUUUAGGCCACAUGAAAUAAGGCGGCUUUCUUUUCUGGUUUUCAGUGUGUUUGUUUCUCCACAUCUUAAAACUGCACUGUAGUUCCUCAAGUAAGAUACUCAACUGCUUUUCUAGUGACCAGAAGUGUGAGUUACAAAUGUGCAACAGAACACUGGGAAAUGUGAUCUGUGUUAGAAGAAUAAGCAGAAACUGUUAAGUUCUGGAACUUAUGAGUCUUCACAGGUACACUUUGGAGAAACAAAAUGGUAAUAAUGUUUAAAGAGCAGAAUAAGUAAUUAGAAUAGUUUCCUUCAGUAGUCCUGUGGCAGAAGCCUUGAACUGUCUGACAUUUAUUUUCAGUAAAAUAGAACAUCUCAAGGAUAAACCUUAUGCUUUUUACAAGUAAAUUCUUGAAAUUUUAGUUCUCUUCCUAGCUCACAAACUAUUGUAGUUAUUCUCCUUACCUUCUUUAUUAUUGCAUCAUAGUCGGAAUUAAUGCCCACAAAACAUAAAUGAGAAAAAAAGUGUGUACAUCUCAGCCACCUUCAUGCAACAUCUAAUGCCAGGAGAGUGGGUUGAAACUGAAUGGAGACGUGAUCUACUGCAGCAGGUCAGGCACACCAUAGGACUUUUCAAACUUCUAAGUACUCUGCAGCUGACACCACAUUGGAAGCUAUUCAAGCAAGUGAACACUGGCCUGAAGAGUAAGAAAUGUCUAUCCUUGUUGUAAGGCUUUCUGGAGAAUCUGCUGGAGGGAGGACAAAUAUGUUUUAGAUAGAGAAGAACGUAAACUAGUGCUCGUAUUAUGUGGUAAUUUCACAUGAAUUAGGUUUCUUGUUUUUUACUGCUGGACUCUUACAGCUAGGAGAAAGAAGCUGC